rnacentral:rRNA from 1 species
GCAAGUCGAGCGGUAACAGAAAGUAGCUUGCUACUUUGCUGACGAGCGGCGGACGGGUGAGUAAUGCUUGGGAACAUGCCUUGAGGUGGGGGACAACAGUUGGAAACGACUGCUAAUACCGCAUAAUGUCUACGGACCAAAGGGGGCUUCGGCUCUCGCCUUUAGAUUGGCCCAAGUGGGAUUAGCUAGUUGGUGAGGUAAUGGCUCACCAAGGCGACGAUCCCUAGCUGGUUUGAGAGGAUGAUCAGCCACACUGGGACUGAGACACGGCCCAGACUCCUACGGGAGGCAGCAGUGGGGAAUAUUGCACAAUGGGCGCAAGCCUGAUGCAGCCAUGCCGCGUGUGUGAAGAAGGCCUUCGGGUUGUAAAGCACUUUCAGUCAGGAGGAAAGGUUAGUAGUUAAUACCUGCUAGCUGUGACGUUACUGACAGAAGAAGCACCGGCUAACUCCGUGCCAGCAGCCGCGGUAAUACGGAGGGUGCGAGCGUUAAUCGGAAUUACUGGGCGUAAAGCGUACGCAGGCGGUUUGUUAAGCGAGAUGUGAAAGCCCCGGGCUCAACCUGGGAACUGCAUUUCGAACUGGCAAACUAGAGUGUGAUAGAGGGUGGUAG